rnacentral:rRNA from 1 species
CCCUUAGAUGUUCUGGGCCGCACGCGCGCUACACUGAUGCAUUCAACGAGUUUCUUCCUGGUCCGAGAGGAAUGGGUAACCUUUUGAAAGUGCAUCGUGAUAGGGAUAGACUAUUGCAAUUAUUGGUCUUCAACGAGGAAUUCCUAGUAGACGUAGUUCAUCAGACUGCAUCGAUUACGUCCCUGCCCUUUGUACCCACCGCCCGUCGCUCCUACCGAUUGAAUGCUCAGGUGAGCCAUUCGGACUUUCAUCAUGCUGGUUUCCAGUUUUGAUGAAGGAAAGUCUUGCGAACCUUAUCAUUUAGAGGAAGGAGAAGUCGUAACA